rnacentral:rRNA from 1 species
GAUGAACGCUGGCGGCGUGCCUAAUACAUGCAAGUCGAACGCACAGCGAAAGGUGCUUGCACCUUUCAAGUGAGUGGCGAACGGGUGAGUAACACGUGGACAACCUGCCUCAAGGCCGGGGAUAACAUUUGGAAACAGAUGCUAAUACCGAAUAAAACUUAGUGUCGCAUGACACAAAGUUAAAAGGCGCUUUGGCGUCACCUAGAGAUGGAUCCGCGGUGCAUUAGUUAGUUGGUGGGGUAAAGGCCUACCAAGACAAUGAUGCAUAGCCGAGUUGAGAGACUGAUCGGCCACAUUGGGACUGAGACACGGCCCAAACUCCUACGGGAGGCUGCAGUAGGGAAUCUUCCACAAUGGGCGAAAGCCUGAUGGAGCAACGCCGCGUGUGUGAUGAAGGCUUUCGGGUCGUAAAGCACUGUUGUAUGGGAAGAACAGCUAGAAUAGGGAAUGAUUUUAGUUUGACGGUACCAUACCAGAAAGGGACGGCUAAAUACGUGCCAGCAGCCGCGGUAAUACGUAUGUCCCGAGCGUUAUCCGGAUUUAUUGGGCGUAAAGCGAGCGCAGACGGUUGAUUAAGUCUGAUGUGAAAGCCCGGAGCUCAACUCCGGAAUGGCAUUGGAAACUGGUUAACUUGAGUGCAGUAGAGGUAAGUGGAACUCCAUGUGUAGCGGUGGAAUGCGUAGAUAUAUGGAAGAACACCAGUGGCGAAGGCGGCUUACUGGUCUGUAACUGACGUUGAGGCUCGAAAGUGUGGGUAGCAAACAGGAUUAGAUACCCUGGUAGUCCACACCGUAAACGAUGAACACUAGGUGUUAGGAGGUUUCCGCCUCUUAGUGCCGAAGCUAACGCAUUAAGUGUUCCGCCUGGGGAGUACGACCGCAAGGUUGAAACUCAAAGGAAUUGACGGGGACCCGCACAAGCGGUGGAGCAUGUGGUUUAAUUCGAAGCAACGCGAAGAACCUUACCAGGUCUUGACAUCCUUUGAAGCUUUUAGAGAUAGAAGUGUUCUCUUCGGAGACAAAGUGACAGGUGGUGCAUGGUCGUCGUCAGCUCGUGUCGUGAGAUGUUGGGUUAAGUCCCGCAACGAGCGCAACCCUUAUUGUUAGUUGCCAGCAUUCAGAUGGGCACUCUAGCGAGACUGCCGGUGACAAACCGGAGGAAGGCGGGGACGACGUCAGAUCAUCAUGCCCCUUAUGACCUGGGCUACACACGUGCUACAAUGGCGUAUACAACGAGUUGCCAACCCGCGAGGGUGAGCUAAUCUCUUAAAGUACGUCUCAGUUCGGAUUGUAGUCUGCAACUCGACUACAUGAAGUCGGAAUCGCUAGUAAUCGCGGAUCAGCACGCCGCGGUGAAUACGUUCCCGGGUCUUGUACACACCGCCCGUCACACCAUGGGAGUUUGUAAUGCCCAAAGCCGGUGGCCUAACCUUUUAGGAAGGAGCCGUCUAAGGCAGGACAGAUGACUGGGGUG